UACAGAGGGUGCAAGCGUUGUUCGGAAUUACUGGGCGUAAAGGGCGUGUAGGCGGCUUAACAAGUCAGGUGUGAAAUCCCGGGGCUCAACUCCGGAAGUGCAUUUGAAACUGCGAAUCUUGAGUCCGAUAGAGGUGGGUGGAAUUCCUAGUGUAGAGGUGAAAUUCGUAGAUAUUAGGAAGAACACCAGUGGCGAAGGCGGCCCACUGGAUCGGUACUGACGCUGAGGUGCGAAAGCGUGGGGAGCAAACAGG
rnacentral:rRNA from 1 species